GUUAAAAAGCUCGUAGUUGGAUCUCGGCGGGCAGGGGGUGGUUCGCUCUUCAGCGCUACUGCCCCGCUUUGCCCGUGUGAUUGGCGGAGGUUUCGGGGUGCUCUUCGUCGAGUGACUCGGAGUGCCGUCAGGUUUACUUUGAAAAAAUUAGAGUGCUCAAAGCAGGCUGUUCACGCUUGAAUAUUCGUGCAUGGAAUAAUGGAAUAGGAACUCGUUUCUAUUUUGUUGGUUUUCGGAGAUCGAGUUAAUGAUUAACAGGGACAAUUGGGGGCAUUAGUAUUCGACGACAGAGGUGAAAUUCUUGGACCGUCUGAAGACUGACUACUGCGAAAGCAUUUGCCAAGAGUGUUUUCAUUAAUCAAGAACGAAAGUUAGAGGUUCGAAGGCGAUCAGAUACCGCCCUAGUUCUAACCAUAAACGAUGCCAGCUAGCGAUCUGCCGAGUUUUUUUUGUAAGCUCCGCAGGAAGCUUUCGGGAAACCAAAGCUUUUGGGUUCCGGGGGAAGUAUGGUUGCAAAGCUGAAACUUAAAGGAAUUGACGGAAGGGCACCACCAAGAGUGGAGCCUGCGGCUUAAU
rnacentral:rRNA from 1 species